GCUGCCAAGCUCUGGGACCCACGUGAUGGAAGAGAAGAACCGAUUCCUACAGAUUGUCUUCUGACUUCCACUCAUGUGUUGUGACACCCACUCCCUCCCCCAAAAUAAAUAAAAUGUGAAAAAAAAAAAUAGAUGAACUAGCUCAGGAAACACAGAUAAUGAGGACUGAGGGUGGGUCCCGGGAAGCACGACUGUCCGCAGUGGAGCGAACGGACCCACAGAUGACACUGAAUGGGACAAAGGAGGGAAAAGAAAAUGUAGCUCCAGGCCAGGGCUCAAGCAACUUUGUGUAUGACGACGGGAACCAGCCCCUCCUACAGACCUUUCACAAUGUCCACAAGGAGGAAACUGGCAAGCCUUAGCCUGGAGCCUUCCACAGUGGGCAGAGGAGCCCAGCAGCCCAGAGCACUUGUAAUAAGAGGAGCCCAGCAUGGUGUGCCAGCUUCACCUGUGGCAUGGCAGCCAUGCCGGCUCUUCGCAGCUGAAGUGCCCACACUUUACUGCUCUUGCAGGUGGGACACAGAGGCAGCAGCCUAGACCUACUGCCUUUCCCAUGUCACAGACAGGAGGGAACUGGAAAUACUGCUGCUGUGGCUUCCCACUGAGCAUGUACACGUGAGUGAGCGAGCGAGCUGUCCAGUUCCCAUUGUGGAGAACUCAUUAGGAACCGGCUUGUCAAGAACCUCAAUGGUGAACAGCCACCAACCAGCCUCCAGAGGGAGGCUCGGACUGCUGAGACCGAUGGACACAGAAAUGGAGCCCAGAGAGUUCCAGACUGGUCCAGACUCUACUCCCCCCCCCCCCCCAGCGGCUGAGUGAGCGCACAGGCCCCACCCACGCUUGAGCACUGAGCCACUAAGGUCUCUCACCCGCAACACCAGCUGAUAUGUGCUACUCCAGGAAAUGGGGAACUGACAUGGGGCUUCAAAAUACCUGCUUUACAACUGCAUCUCCAUAACAAAUACAACACAAAUUCUGUUAUCUUAAUAUGUCUCUAAUCACCUCCAACACUGAAUCUGCCAGAAAUUUUCACUUGGCUUUUACUAGAAGGAACUGUAGUUAUUUGAAUGAAUUAUAUAUGUUACCUUUCUUCAAAAGCAAAUAACUACAAGCUAUUAUUCUUCCUUGCUGAGCAGCCCUGAGUACUUUAUAGAAAUCUCUUGCUGCAAUCUCUCGUCUUCCCUUACAGCUGAAUACUAUAAUCUGCGGGUUCUCUCCAGGGCACAACUUGACUACCAUCAGAUUUGUACUGAAGGAGCUUUCGGCUAUGGAUCGCUGUGUGAAACUAAUUUAUUAUCUUCUGGCCUCCUCAUUUUUAAUUACAACACUUCUCAGGCUGGAGUGACGGCUCAGUGGUUAAGAACAGGUACUGCACUUGCGGAGGACCUGAAUUAGGUUCCCAGUGCACAUGGCGAGUGGUUCACAACUGCCUCCAACUCCAGAUACACAGCAUCCUAUCCCUCUUCUGGCCUCCAUCAGUGCUUAUACUCACACAGAAACACACAGAGACAUGUCACCUGUCCAAUGUCUAUGGUUUCGACUUUCUCUAGCUCAUCUCCCUUACUCUUCGCACCCCUACGCCCCACACCCUGGGAGCAGACGCAAGGGCUUCACACAUGCUAGAAACGCUCUACUAUAAAGCUGCACUGUUGGCUCCAGUACUUCUGCUUUGAGGGAGAAGUUACGCAAAGCCAUGGCUGUACGCAUCUACUAGACCUGUGUGUCUGAAUUUCCCUCAUAAUAGAUUUAUCAAAAAAAAAAUUAAACAAAUUUUUAAAAAUU
ensembl:sense_intronic